rnacentral:lncRNA from 1 species
CUCUUCCUGGGUGUAAACUGCGAUUCAAAAAGCCAGCCUGAAUUUUCAUGGCCAUGGGACAAAGAACCCCGUCUUUAGCUGAAUUAAGGAAAAGUUCUGCAACAUUUUUGACGUGCAACUUGGGGGCUCAAGCGGAGAAGCGAAGCAGAGCCCCUGGAAAACUCACAUAUGUGUCAACAAUAGUCCUUGAUGCCCCUGUAACAAAACUUGAGCAAGGCCUGGUGAUGAAGAGAUACAAGAUUGUCACCCAAGGAUUUGAUUAUACCUCUGUUGAAAGUUAAUGCACACUCAACCGAAUAUGGCAAUUGGUACUCUCAAUUCUAUAUUCUCAACAAUUACAGUGAAGAUACAAGUAGAAUACAAUCACUGCCACAUUUUUUGAAAUUCUGUGUAAACUGUAAUAUUCUGUCAACAUUAAUGACAUUUGAAGUGUCCUGUCAAAACAAUUGCAGCUACUUUAUGUAUAAAACAUAUUAAAUAGGCUCAUCCAACUUGCAUUCUUUAUUAAGCUUAUUUUCAUAUUUUUUCCUAUGGAUGAACUUAAAAAUAAUUUUGUUUCUUAAUUAAGAUUCUAUGCAUGAAGAUGCUGAAUAAUUUAAGACAAUUGUUCAUUCAAAUAGUUGCUAAUUACACCCUCCUGGCAUAGUUAUUGUAUUAUUACUACAUUUAGGAAUAAUAUGCUGUACUACUUGGACUUGAAAAUGUUUCUGACAUUUUAAUGAACACACUACUUAGUUAUAUUUUACAAGGGUUUUCAGUGAACCACAGAGGAUUAAAAAAUGUCAUUCAAGGGUUGUAGAUAAUUAAACUGACUGAAUAUAAGAAGCCUCAUAUGGAAGUGAAAAUUAUGUAUGAAUUUUGUUGAGCUGGAAAUGUGUUUUACUAAAUGACUUCAGAUUUGUUACUUUUAAAUACAAGAUGAAGGGAAUCAAGGGGAUACUUUCUUCUCACCUCAAUUUGUUCCAUUUGCAUAAGCUAUUUUAUCUUUCAAUAUCCCUUUUGAUAUUUCAUUUUGGCCCUUGAAUACACUAAAGAUUAUUUAAAAUAAAUAAAUGUUGACUUUGAAAUACUGCUAUAUAUAUUCAUUGCAAUACAUCAGGUGGGAAAUUGGUGCAAUUCAGUCACACACACAACCUCAUAGAUCAGAUUUCCAGUUAAGUUUUAAUAGAAAGAGAUUUUAGAUAGACAUGACUUUCAAUAAAAUGGAAGAAUUUUUAUUAGUUUCAAAAUAAUGAUUUUACUUGCUUAUCAACACAGUUGACCUUUCCCCACAGUACUAUGAUCUUCUUAGUACCUCUGCUAUAAUUAUA